GGGUUGUGAGGUUAAGCGACUAAGCGUACACGGUGGAUGCCCUGGCAGUCAGAGGCGAUGAAGGACGUGCUAAUCUGCGAUAAGCGUCGGUGAGGUGAUAUGAACCGUUAUAACCGGCGAUUUCCGAAUGGGGAAACCCAGUGUGUUUCGACACACUAUCAUUAACUGAAUCCAUAGGUUAAUGAGGCGAACCGGGGGAACUGAAACAUCUAAGUACCCCGAGGAAAAGAAAUCAACCGAGAUUCCCCCAGUAGCGGCGAGCGAACGGGGAGCAGCCCAGAGCCUGAAUCAGUGUGUGUGUUAGUGGAAGCGUCUGGAAAGGCGCGCGAUACAGGGUGACAGCCCCGUACACAAAAAUGCACAUGCUGUGAGCUCGAUGAGUAGGGCGGGACACGUGGUAUCCUGUCUGAAUAUGGGGGGACCAUCCUCCAAGGCUAAAUACUCCUGACUGACCGAUAGUGAACCAGUACCGU
rnacentral:rRNA from 1 species